ACUCCUACGGGAGGCAGCAGUAGGGAAUCUUCCACAAUGGACGAAAGUCUGAUGGAGCAACGCCGCGUGAACGAUGAAGGCCUCGGUCGUAAGUUCUGUUGUAAGGGAAGAACAAGUGCCGCAGGCAAUGGCGGCACCUUGACGGUACCUUGCGAGAAAGCCACGGCUAACUACGUGCCAGCAGCCGCGGUAAUACGUAGGUGGCAAGCGUUGUCCGGAAUUAUUGGGCGUAAAGCGCGCGCAGGCGGCCUCUUAAGUCUGAUGUGAAAGCCCCGGCUCAACCGGGGGAGGGCCAUUGGAAACUGGGAGGCUUGAGUAUAGGAGAGAAGAGUGGAAUUCCACGUGUAGCGGUGAAAUGCGUAGAGAUGUGGAGGAACACCAGUGGCGAAGGCGACUCUUUGGCCUAUAACUGACGCUGAGGCGCGAAAGCGUGGGGAGCAAACA
rnacentral:rRNA from 1 species